CAAUCCUAUCUAUGCAUCUUCCAGGACCCUUCCAACCCAUCCUAUGACCUUCCAGGACUUUUCCAACCCAUUCUAUACUCUUCAGAACUCUUCCAACUCACGACAUUCCAGGGCUUUCCAGUCCUAACUAUGCACCUUCCAGGACCCUUCCAACCCAUUCUAUGACCUUCCAGGACCCUUCCAACAGAAACUAAGAUGUUUCAGUCCCCUUCCAGCCCACCCUAUGCCCUUCCAGGACCUUCCCAACCCAUCCUACGACCUUCCAGGACCUUCCCAACCCAUCCUAUGAGUUUCCAACACCCUUCCAACCCAACCAUUCAUCUUUCAAGUCCCUUCCAACCCACUCAAAACCCCAGCAACGCAUUCGAUGCCCUUCCAAGACCCUCCCAUGUCCCUUUUUCCCCUUCCAGGACCCCGGCAUCCCCCCUUUUUGCCCUGCCAGGACCUUGUGCACGUUGAUGGCGGGCAGGGCGCUCUGCAGGGCGGCGGCGACGGCCUUCAUGUGGAUGUGGGGCAGCACGAAAAACCUUUCCAACCCAUCCUAUCACCUUCCAGGACCUUCCCAACCCAUCCUAUCACUUUUCAGGACCUUUCCAACCCACUCUAUGACCUUCCAGGACCCUUCCAACACCCUAUAACCUUCCAGGACCCUUCCAACCUAUCCGAUGAGUUUUCAACGUCCUUCCAAUCCAUUCUAUGACCUUCCAAGACCCUUCCAACCCAACCUACGCUCUUUCAGUCUCCUUCCACCCAAUCCUAUGCUCUUCCAGGACCUUCCCAACACAGCCUAUGACCUUCCAGGACCUUUCCAACCUAUCCUAUCAAUUUGCAACAUGUGACCAACCCAUCUAACGACCUUCCAGAACCCUUCCAACCCAAACUAAGAUGUUUCAGUCCCCUUCCAGCCCAUCCUAUACCCUUCCAGGACCUUCCCAACCCAACCUAUGACCUUCCAGGACCUUCCCAACCCAACCUAUGACCUUCCAAGACCUUCCCAACCCAUCCUAUGACUUUUCAACACCCUUCCAACCCAACCAUUCAUCUUUCAAGCCCCUUCCAACCCACUCAAAACCCCAGCAACGCGUUCUACGCCCCUCCAGGACCCACCCAUCUCCUUCUUUCCCCUUCCAGGACCCCAGCGUCCCCCCGUUUUG
rnacentral:lncRNA from 1 species